rnacentral:rRNA from 1 species
UCAAGCUGUAAAGGGCGCAAGGGGAAUGCCUUGGCACUGAGAGCCGACGAAGGACGCGACAAGCUGCGAUAAGCUACGGGGAGCCGCAAAUGGGCUUUGAUCCGUGGAUUUCCGAAUGGGGAAACCCGGCAGAGCAAUACUCUGUCAACAUGUACUGAAUACAUAGGUACAUGUGGGGAACCGCCUGAACUGAAACAUCUAAGUAGGGCGAGGAAGAGAAAUCAACCGAGAUUCCGCUAGUAGUGGCGAGCGAACGCGGAAGAGGCCAAACCGGAGGUAGCAAUAUUUCCGGGGUUAGGACUGCAAUAUGUAACUUUAAUCUUUAACUGAAUGCUUUGGGAAGAGCAGCAAUAUAGGGUGAUAGCCCCGUAAGUGAAAAGGAUUGAGUGCUAGCAGUAUCCAGAGUACCAGCGGACACGUGAAACCCGCUGGGAAGAUGGGGGGACCAUCCUCCAAGCCUAAAUACUACUCAGUGACCGAUAGUGGAGCAGUACCGUGAGGGAAAGGUGAAAAGUACCCCGGGAGGGGAGUGAAAAAGAACCUGAAACCUUGUGCCUACAAGCACCGAGAGCACGUUAAAGUGUGAUCGGGUACUUUUUGUAGAACGGUCCGGCGAGUUAAUAUUUGCAGCGAGGUUAAGGAACUGGAGUUCCGGAGCCGCAGCGAGAGCGAGUCUGAAUAGGGCGUAUGAAGUUGCAGGUAUUAGACCCGAAACCGGGUGACCUAUCCAUGAGCAGGCUGAAGCGGUGGUAAGACACCGUGGAGGGCCGCACCCACGUCUGUUGAAAAAGCCGGGGAUGACUUGUGGAUAGCGGAGAAAUUCCAAUCGAACUCGGAGAUAGCUGGUUCUCCCCGAAAUAGCUUUAGGGCUAGCGUUAUUUUAGAUUACCGGAGGUAAAGCACUGAAUGGUCUAGGGGCCGCGAGGUUACCAAAGCCUAUCAAACUCUGAAUGCCGGAUAAUUGAUGAAUAGCAGUCAGACUGUGUGAGAUAAGUCUCAUAGUCAAAAGGGAAACAGCCCAGAUCUACAGCUAAGGUCCCAAAUGAACACUAAGUGGAAAAUGAUGUGAAACUGCGAAGACAACCAGGAUGUUGGCUUAGAAGCAGCCACUCAUUCAAAGAGUGCGUAAUAGCUCACUGGUCGAGUGGUUUUGCGCAGAAAAUGUAACGGGGCUAAGUGUUCAACCGAAGCUUAGGCAUUGCAGUAAUGCAUUGGGUAGGGGAGCGUCGUAUGCGGGGUGAAGUCAGAGCGGAAGCACUGGUGGACUGCAUACGAGUGAGAAUGCCGGAAUAAGUAGCGAGAAUUAUGUGAGAAUCAUAAUGGCCGAAAAUCUAAGGUUUCUUGGGGAAGGUUCGUCCGCCCAAGGUUAGUCGGGAGCUAAGCUCAGGCCGAAAGGCGUAGGCGAUGCACAUACGGUAGAAAUUCCGUAACCACCGAACAUUUAAGCUAGAGGGACGCUUUCUUUAAGGUUAUCCCGGGCGAUGGUUGCCCCGGGCGUAAGGGACCGAAAUAUAGUAGGGAAGUAACUGGCGAGAGAGACGAGAAAAGCUCUAGUGUAUACUAAGGUGCCCGUACCGCAAACCGACACAGGUAGAUGGGAUGAGUAUUCUAAGGCCAACGGGAGAAGGGUUGUUAAGGAACUCGGCAAAUUGGCCCCGUAACUUCGGGAUAAGGGGCGCCUGCGAGAGCAGGCCGCAGUGAAAAGGCCCAAGCGACUGUUUAGCAAAAACACAGCUCUCUGCUAAAUCGAAAGAUGACGUAUAGGGGGUGACGCCUGCCCGGUGCUGGAAGGUUAAGGGGAGUGCUUAGCGCAAGCGAAGGUGCGAACUUAAGCCCCAGUAAACGGCGGCCGUAACUAUAACGGUCCUAAGGUAGCGAAAUUCCUUGUC